CCUACGGGUGGCAGCAGUGAGGAAUAUUGGUCAAUGGGCGAGAGCCUGAACCAGCCAAGUCGCGUGAGUGAGUACUGCCCUAUGGGUUGUAAACCUCUUUUGUCGGGGAGCAAAAGCCGGACGUGUCCGGCUGUGAGAGUACCCGAAGAAAAAGCAUCAGCUAACUCCGUGCCAGCAGCCGCGGUAAUACGGAGGAUGCGAGCGUUAUCCGGAUUUACUGGGUGUAAAGGGCGUGCAGCCGGAGAGACAAGUCAGAUGUGAAAUCCACGGGCUCAACCCGUGAACUGCAUUUGAAACUGUUUCCCUUGAGUGUCGGAGAGGGAAUCGGAAUUCCAGGUGUAGCGGUGAAAUGCGUAGAGAUAAGGAAGAACACCAGUGGCGAAGGCGGAUUACUGGACGAUAACUGACGGUGAGGCGCGAAAGCGUGGGGAGCAAACAGGAUUAGAUACCCGAGUAGUC
rnacentral:rRNA from 1 species